rnacentral:rRNA from 1 species
AGGACGAACGCUGGCGGCGUGCUUAACACAUGCAAGUCGAACGAGGCUGUAUUGGGAGCUUGCUUUGAUACAGCCGAGUGGCGGACGGGUGAGUAACGCGUGAGCAACCUGUCUCAUACAGGGGGAUAACGCACCGAAAGGUGUGCUAAUACCGCAUAAGACCACAGCCUCGCAUGGGGGAGAGGUCAAAGGAGCGAUCCGGUAUGAGGUGGGCUCGCGUCUGAUUAGAUAGUUGGUGAGGUAACGGCCCACCAAGUCAACGAUCAGUAGCCGACCUGAGAGGGUGAUCGGCCACAUUGGAACUGAGAGACGGUCCAAACUCCUACGGGAGGCAGCAGUGGGGAAUAUUGGGCAAUGGGCGCAAGCCUGACCCAGCAACGCCGCGUGAGGGAAGAAGGUUUUCGGAUUGUAAACCUCUGUCCUGAAUGAAAAGGAGUAGAUGGUAAUUCAGGAGGAAGCCCCGGCUAACUACGUGCCAGCAGCCGC